CGAUGACAGUGAGAUACUGAUUUAAAUAUUGUAAAAAUUUCAUAUGCAAGUAAUGUUGCCAAUGGACAAGUAAUUCAAAAGUCAUAGGCUACCUUUUUUCCCCCUUUUGAAAACAAUAAAAGUACAAUUAGCAUGCUAGUAGUACUUGACAUGUGCAUUUCAUUUGGUUUCCUCAGGAAAAGAGAAAAUAUGGCACUAUGU
rnacentral:lncRNA from 1 species